AUUAUAAUAUAGUUAGGAUGUAUUCACUUUAUUUCAAUUUAGUAUGCCUUUAAAACGUUAUUAAUAUGAUAUGGGCAAUCCUAUAAUGAUUUUUUUCUGAUGAUUUUUUGCCAAGACUGGACUGGUUUUCCGCUCAUAAUUAAAACUAAUUAUAGAUCUGACUAAUCUUGUAACUUACAGUACUACGAGCAUCUUGCAGGACAAAUUUACAGUAAACGCGAAGCUAAAAUGAACAUGUUUUGUGAAAAGUGAUUCGUUCUUUAGAAAAUGGAUACGUUUUGUAUAUAGUUUGAUUAUGUUUCGUGCAUUGUUAUAAUCAACCAACUACCAAACAUGAGAGGUAGGUGACCGUGAGAAGAUCGGGUCAGUUGCGUGUUUAUUUCGUGUUCGUGGUACACGAGUUGUUCUCGCGUGUACCACGAACACGUAAUAAACAAGCAAAUAGACCUAGUCGUCUCACGGUCACCUACCUCUCGUCCAUACCCUUUAGCCAUGUCUGAAAGUUUGACAAAGUAUUCAAUAAAAGGACAUCAUGAAAGAUGGGGACGUCCUUGCCUCCUUUUGUUUCAUUUGCCCUGAUUGUUACGUAAUAUGACAGCAGGCUGGCUGAACCCAUGCAAUGGCCUAACCAUAGAGAUUAUAAAUAACACUAGAGGAGGCAUCGAGUUUAAAAACUGGGAACGCAGCUAAUGGGGGGCAAAUUCAAGUCCCGGAUAUAAAAUCGUGCUCUCAUUGGCUGAUUUGAAACUCGUCACCAAUGGGAACACGAAUACACAUCCGGGACUUGAAUUUGCCCCCCAAUAGUCGCGUUCCCUUUUUUUUUACUGAAUUAAGAUUACAAUGCCUCCUCUAGUGUUAUUUAUAAUCUCUAUG